rnacentral:misc_RNA from 1 species
GGAACACAAUGGAAAUGAAGGUAAAAUCUAGUGUGAAAUUACUUGAACAAAUGCUGAAAUGUGACCUAUAUGGAUUCUUAGAAUUGAGAGCCACAUACCUAGGUAGUUACAAUGUUUUAAUUCAGAUAUAUACUGGAAUGGUUGAAAUUAGAGAAUGUGACUAAGCAACAUGACUAGACUAAUCCUCAUCAAUUUUUACAUCUGAAGUGAUUCAAAUCAAUUAUCAUCACAGUGAUGUCAUCCAGACUACCUCUUCUCAGGGCAAGGUUCACAAGCUCCUUACAAGCAGCCACAAGCCCCACAGAGGCAGGUCCCUUCUUGUGGGUACUGUUUUCUUUAUUAGGUGAAUCAAUUUUGGUGUUUAUUCGCUUGAACAUUGAAAUUCGUCUUGACUUGGUCGGAGGACUUCCAUUUUCACAUGCAAAGUCAUCUUGCUUAUCUUUCCAGCCAUCAACUGUCUGCUUGUUUCUUGGUGACUGUUUUGACCCCUUUUGAUGCUUGACCAGGGAAACCCUUCGCAACUUUGAUGAAGGACUUACAUUGACACAGCCAUAACAAACAUCAUCAUCAUCUUUUUGAUCAUCUCCUGUGGAUCCCAGUUUCUUCUGAGUCAUACACAAUGAAAUCACAGUAUCAACAGCUUCUUGGUUCCCAACCUAGGCCACAAUAUCACACACUAAAGUCAACAAUCACUCAAAACCAUAGACAUAUGGAUUCUGUUUGCCAAUUUCAUGCAAUAGGACCUCAAUGUCGCAGGGGCUGAAAGAUGAUUGACAGAAUGAGGAGUGCUUCAAUCACAUGUUAGUGCAAUGCACUCUAUAACACGAGUAAUUUGCAGUCCUUAUUACAAUAUUCACUUGAAGCCAACUUCAAUUUCACAUUUGCAGAUUAAAUAGAAAUAUGUUGCUUUUUUUGGUUUAACAGGUAAAUGAGAUGAAUUUAACAAAACAUAGUCAAGCAUAAGUCUAUUUCCCAAUAUGUUAAUAUACAGUAUGAGUUAAAGAUCUGGCAUUGAGGCAAAGACUUCCACAAGUUGUUCCCCAACUC